rnacentral:rRNA from 1 species
GGGUUGUGAGGUUAAGCGACUAAGCGUACACGGUGGAUGCCCUGGCAGUCAGAGGCGAUGAAGGACGUGCUAAUCUGCGAUAAGCGUCGGUAAGGUGAUAUGAACCGUUAUAACCGGCGAUUUCCGAAUGGGGAAACCCAGUGUGAUUCGUCACACUAUCAUUAACUGAAUCCAUAGGUUAAUGAGGCGAACCGGGGGAACUGAAACAUCUAAGUACCCCGAGGAAAAGAAAUCAACCGAGAUUCCCCCAGUAGCGGCGAGCGAACGGGGAGCAGCCCAGAGCCUGAAUCAGUGUGUGUGUUAGUGGAAGCGUCUGGAAAGGCGCGCGAUACAGGGUGACAGCCCCGUACACAAAAAUGCACAUACUGUGAGCUCGAUGAGUAGGGCGGGACACGUGGUAUCCUGUCUGAAUAUGGGGGGACCAUCCUCCAAGGCUAAAUACUCCUGACUGACCGAUAGUGAACCAGUACCGUGAGGGAAAGGCGAAAAGAACCCCGGCGAGGGGAGUGAAAAAGAACCUGAAACCGUGUACGUACAAGCAGUGGGAGCACGCUUAGGCGUGUGACUGCGUACCUUUUGUAUAAUGGGUCAGCGACUUAUAUUCUGUAGCAAGGUUAACCGAAUAGGGGAGCCGAAGGGAAACCGAGUCUUAACUGGGCGUUAAGUUGCAGGGUAUAGACCCGAAACCCGGUGAUCUAGCCAUGGGCAGGUUGAAGGUUGGGUAACACUAACUGGAGGACCGAACCGACUAAUGUUGAAAAAUUAGCGGAUGACUUGUGGCUGGGGGUGAAAGGCCAAUCAAACCGGGAGAUAGCUGGUUCUCCCCGAAAGCUAUUUAGGUAGCGCCUCGUGAAUUCAUCUCCGGGGGUAGAGCACUGUUUCGGCAAGGGGGUCAUCCCGACUUACCAACCCGAUGCAAACUGCGAAUACCGGAGAAUGUUAUCACGGGAGACACACGGCGGGUGCUAACGUCCGUCGUGAAGAGGGAAACAACCCAGACCGCCAGCUAAGGUCCCAAAGUCAUGGUUAAGUGGGAAACGAUGUGGGAAGGCCCAGACAGCCAGGAUGUUGGCUUAGAAGCAGCCAUCAUUUAAAGAAAGCGUAAUAGCUCACUGGUCGAGUCGGCCUGCGCGGAAGAUGUAACGGGGCUAAACCAUGCACCGAAGCUGCGGCAGCGACGCUGAUGCGUUGUUGGGUAGGGGAGCGUUCUGUAAGCCUGUGAAGGUGUGCUGUGAGGCAUGCUGGAGGUAUCAGAAGUGCGAAUGCUGACAUAAGUAACGAUAAAGCGGGUGAAAAGCCCGCUCGCCGGAAGACCAAGGGUUCCUGUCCAACGUUAAUCGGGGCAGGGUGAGUCGACCCCUAAGGCGAGGCCGAAAGGCGUAGUCGAUGGGAAACAGGUUAAUAUUCCUGUACUUGGUGUUACUGCGAAGGGGGGACGGAGAAGGCUAUGUUGGCCGGGCGACGGUUGUCCCGGUUUAAGCGUGUAGGCUGGUUUUCCAGGCAAAUCCGGAAAAUCAAGGCUGAGGCGUGAUGACGAGGCACUACGGUGCUGAAGCAACAAAUGCCCUGCUUCCAGGAAAAGCCUCUAAGCAUCAGGUAACAUCAAAUCGUACCCCAAACCGACACAGGUGGUCAGGUAGAGAAUACCAAGGCGCUUGAGAGAACUCGGGUGAAGGAACUAGGCAAAAUGGUGCCGUAACUUCGGGAGAAGGCACGCUGAUAUGUAGGUGAAGUCCCUCGCGGAUGGAGCUGAAAUCAGUCGAAGAUACCAGCUGGCUGCAACUGUUUAUUAAAAACACAGCACUGUGCAAACACGAAAGUGGACGUAUACGGUGUGACGCCUGCCCGGUGCCGGAAGGUUAAUUGAUGGGGUCAGCGCAAGCGAAGCUCUUGAUCGAAGCCCCGGUAAACGGCGGCCGUAACUAUAACGGUCCUAAGGUAGCGAAAUUCCUUGUCGGGUAAGUUCCGACCUGCACGAAUGGCGUAAUGAUGGCCAGGCUGUCUCCACCCGAGACUCAGUGAAAUUGAACUCGCUGUGAAGAUGCAGUGUACCCGCGGCAAGACGGAAAGACCCCGUGAACCUUUACUAUAGCUUGACACUGAACAUUGAGCCUUGAUGUGUAGGAUAGGUGGGAGGCUUAGAAGUGUGGACGCCAGUCUGCAUGGAGCCGACCUUGAAAUACCACCCUUUAAUGUUUGAUGUUCUAACGUUGACCCGUAAUCCGGGUUGCGGACAGUGUCUGGUGGGUAGUUUGACUGGGGCGGUCUCCUCCUAAAGAGUAACGGAGGAGCACGAAGGUUGGCUAAUCCUGGUCGGACAUCAGGAGGUUAGUGCAAUGGCAUAAGCCAGCUUGACUGCGAGCGUGACGGCGCGAGCAGGUGCGAAAGCAGGUCAUAGUGAUCCGGUGGUUCUGAAUGGAAGGGCCAUCGCUCAACGGAUAAAAGGUACUCCGGGGAUAACAGGCUGAUACCGCCCAAGAGUUCAUAUCGACGGCGGUGUUUGGCACCUCGAUGUCGGCUCAUCACAUCCUGGGGCUGAAGUAGGUCCCAAGGGUAUGGCUGUUCGCCAUUUAAAGUGGUACGCGAGCUGGGUUUAGAACGUCGUGAGACAGUUCGGUCCCUAUCUGCCGUGGGCGCUGGAGAACUGAGGGGGGCUGCUCCUAGUACGAGAGGACCGGAGUGGACGCAUCACUGGUGUUCGGGUUGUCAUGCCAAUGGCACUGCCCGGUAGCUAAAUGCGGAAGAGAUAAGUGCUGAAAGCAUCUAAGCACGAAACUUGCCCCGAGAUGAGUUCUCCCUGACUCCUUGAGAGUCCUGAAGGAACGUUGAAGACGACGACGUUGAUAGGCCGGGUGUGUAAGCGCAGCGAUGCGUUGAGCUAACCGGUACUAAUGAACCGUGAGGCUUAACCUUACAACGCCGAAGCUGUU